UACGGGGGGGGCGAGCGUUGUUCGGAAUUACUGGGCGUAAAGGGUUCGUAGGUGGCCUGCUAAGUCAGACGUGAAAUCCCUCAGCUUAACUGGGGAACUGCGUCUGAAACUGGCGGGCUUGAGUGCAGGAGAGGAACGCGGAAUUCCAGGUGUAGCGGUGAAAUGCGUAGAUAUCUGGAGGAACACCGGUGGCGAAGGCGGGUCUCUGGGCAACAACUGACGCUGAGGAGCGAAAGCGUGGGGAGCGAACAGG
rnacentral:rRNA from 1 species